UACGGAGGGUCCAAGCGUUGUCCGGAAUCACUGGGUGUAAAGGGUGUGUAGGCGGGCCUGCAAGUCAGAGGUGAAAGCCCCCGGCCUAACCGGGGAAUUGCCUUUGAGACUGCAGGUCUUGAGUCCUGGAGGGGUCACUAGAAUUCGUGGUGUAGCGGUGAAAUGCGUAGAUAUCACGAGGAAUACCAGAGGCGAAGGCGGGUGACUGGACAGGUACUGACGCUGAGGCACGAAAGCGUGGGGAGCAAACAGG
rnacentral:ncRNA from 2 species